GUAGUCCACGCUGUAAACGAUCGGUACUAGACUUGGUGAGAUUUGACCCUUGCCGAGUCGUAGCUAACGCAAUAAGUACCGCGCCUGGGGAGUACGGUCGCAAGAUUAAAACUCAAAGGAAUUGACGGGGCCCGCACAAGCGGUGGAUCAUGUGGUUUAAUUCGAAGCAACGCGAAGAACCUUACCUGGGUUUGACAUCCUCUGACAUCACUAGAGAUAGUGCUUCUAUAGCAAUAUAGCAGAGAGACAGGUGCUGCAUGGCUGUCGUCAGCUCGUGUGGUGACAUGUUGGGUUAAG
rnacentral:rRNA from 1 species